rnacentral:lncRNA from 1 species
AGAUAUAUAAGGCCUGUUGUUGCUGAUGUUGCUGUGGUUGCCAAAUGUCAUUUAAGUGCUCUCUAUAGGCAUGAAAAAGGAAAACUUUUUGCCCAGCUGGUUGACUUACUUCAGUUCUAUGAAGGGUUUGAAAUUGAUGACCAUUUAGGGAGACAAAUGACUGAUGAUGAAGUGGUUCAGGCUCAUUAUGAUCGUUUCCAGUCAUUCCAGCUCCUUGCAUUUAAGAAGAUACCCAAGGUCUGUUUUGAUUUCUGUUCUUUUUGAUGAUGAUGAGCUGCUCGCUUCAGUUCUAUGAAGGUUUUGAAAUUGAUGACCAUUUAGGGAGACAAAUGACUGAUGAUGAAGUGGUUCAGGCUCACUAUGACCGUUUCCAGUCAUUCCAGCUCCUUGCAUUUAAGAAGAUACCUA